rnacentral:rRNA from 1 species
UAAGUUCCGACCCGCACGAAAGGCGUAACGAUUUGGGCACUGUCUCAACGAGAGACUCGGUGAAAUCAUAGUACCUGUGAAGAUGCAGGUUACCCGCGACAGGACGGAAAGACCCCGUGGAGCUUUACUGUAGCCUGAUAUUGAAAUUCGGCACAGCUUGUACAGGAUAGGUAGGAGCCUUUGAAACGUGAGCGCUAGCUUACGUGGAGGCGCUGGUGGGAUACUACCCUAGCUGUGUUGGCUUUCUAACCCGCACCACUUAUCGUGGUGGGAGACAGUGUCAGGCGGGCAGUUUGACUGGGGCGGUCGCCUCCUAAAAGGUAACGGAGGCGCUCAAAGGUUCCCUCAGAAUGGUUGGAAAUCAUUCAUAGAGUGUAAAGGCAUAAGGGAGCUUGACUGCGAGACCUACAAGUCGAGCAGGGUCGAAAGACGGACUUAGUGAUCCGGUGGUUCCGCAUGGAAGGGCCAUCGCUCAA